rnacentral:rRNA from 1 species
AGCGAACGUUAGCGGCGCGCCUAACACAUGCAAGUCGCACGAGAAAGGGAGCAAUCCCCGGUACAGUGGCGCACGGGUGAGUAACACGUAGAUGACCUUCCCUGGAGUGGUGGAUAACCUGCCGAAAGGCGGGCUAAUACAGCAUGGGACCACAUGGUUUUGACCGAGUGGUGAAAGCGGGCCUCUGUUCACAAGCUCGCGCUCUGGGAUGGGUCUGCGUCCCAUCAGCUAGUUGGUGAGGUAAUGGCUCACCAAGGCAUCGACGGGUAGCUGGUCUGAGAGGAUGACCAGCCACACUGGAACUGAGACACGGUCCAGACUCCUACGGGAGGCAGCAGUGGGGAAUAUUGCGCAAUGGGCGAAAGCCUGAUCCAGCAAUGCCGCGUGUGUGAAGAAGGCCUGCGGGUUGUAAAGCACUUUCAGUGGGAAGAACAGAUUCGGGUCAAUACCCGGAGCCCUGACGUUA